AGUAUUGAAGGGCUGCAGUAUAUUGACUGUACAAAGGUAGCAUAAUCAUUAGUCAUUUAAUUGAUGACUUGUAUGAAGGAUUGGAUGAAAUAUAGACUGUCUCUUAGUUAUAAAUAGAAUUUAAUUUUUUUAUUAAAAAGUUAAGAUAAUUUAAAAAGACGAGAAGACCCUAUAGAGUUUUAUAAUUAAAUUAAUUAAUAUUAUUUAUUAAAUUAAAGUUAAAAUUAGUUUAUUUAUUAUGUUGGGGUGAUAAAAAAAUAUAUAUAACUUUUUUUAAAAUAAAAACAUUUAUAAGUGAUUAAUUGAUCCAAUAUUAUUGAUUAUAAGAAAAAAUUACCUUAGGGAUAACAGCGUAAUUUUUUUUUUUAGUUCAUAUAAGAAAAAGAGUUUGCGACCUCGAUGUUGGAUUAAGAUAAAAUUUAAAUGCAGAAG
rnacentral:rRNA from 1 species